rnacentral:rRNA from 1 species
GAUAAACGCUGGCGGCGUGCCUAAUACAUGCAAGUUGAGCGGAGAGCUUCGGCUCUUAGCAGCGAACGGGUGAGUAACACGUAGGCAACCUGCCCUGUUGACUGGAAUAACAAACCGAAAGGUUUGCUAAUGCCGGAUGAUAACGUGUGUCGCAUGACACAUGAAUGAAAGUUGGGACACAACACAACAGGAUGGGCCUGCGGCGCAUUAGCUAGGUGGUGAGGUAACGGCUCACCAUGGUAAUGAUGCGUAGCCGAUCUGAGAGGAUGUACGGCCACAUUGGAACUGAGACACGGUCCAG